rnacentral:rRNA from 1 species
UACGUAGGGGGCAAGCGUUGUCCGGAUUUAUUGGGCGUAAAGAGCGUGUAGGCGGCUGGGUAGGUCCGUUGUGAAAACUCGAGGCUCAACCUCGAGACGCCGAUGGAAACCCUCCAGCUAGAGUCCGGAAGAGGAGAGUGGAAUUCCUGGUGUAGCGGUGAAAUGCGCAGAUAUCAGGAGGAACACCCGAGGCGAAGGCGGCUCUCUGGGUCGUACCUGACGCUGAGGCGCGAAAGCUAGGGGAGCGAACGGG